GUAGGGAGCGAGCGUUGUCCGAAGUUACUGGGCGUAAAGCGCGCGUAGGCGGGUUAUUAAGUGAGAGGUGAAAUUCCGAGGGCUCAACCCAGGAACUGCCUCUCAUACUGAUAGUCUUGAGUGAGGUAGAGAGAAGUGGAAUGGCUGGUGUAGCGGUGAAAUGCGUAGAUAUCAGUCGGAACACCGGUGGCGAAGGCGGCUUCUUGGGCCUUUACUGACGCUGAGGCGCGAAAGCCAGGGUAGCGAACGGGAUUAGAUACCCCGGUAGUCCUGGCCGUAAACGAUGGAUACUAGGUGUAGGGGGUAUCGACCCCCCCUGUGCCGCAGCUAACGCAUUAAGUAUCCCGCCUGGGGAGUACGGCCGCAAGGUUG
rnacentral:rRNA from 1 species